rnacentral:rRNA from 1 species
UACAGAGGGUGCGAGCGUUGUCCGGAAUCACUGGGCGUAAAGGGCGCGUAGGCGGCUUGAUAAGCGUGCGGUGAAAGCCCGGGGCUCAACCCCGGGUCGGCCGUGCGAACUGUCGAGCUGGAGCACUGUAGAGGCAGGUGGAAUUCCGGGUGUAGCGGUGGAAUGCGUAGAGAUCCGGAAGAACACCGGAGGCGAAGGCGGCUUGCUGGGCAUGGUCUGACGCUGAGGCGCGAAAGCGUGGGGAGCGAACAGG